rnacentral:rRNA from 1 species
CAAAGGAAGUUGACGGGGCCCGCACAAGCGGUGGAGUAUGUGGUUUAAUUCGAUGCAACGCGAAGAACUUACCUGGUCUUGACAUCCCGGAGACCCUUAGGAAACUAGGGGGUGCUUCCAUCUGGAAGAAUCUGGAGACAGGUGCUGCAUGGCUGUCGUCAGCUCGUGUCGUGAGAUGUUGGGUUAAGUCCCGCAACGAGCGCAACCCUUGCCUUUAGUUGCCAGCAGUUCGGCUGGGCACUCUAAAGGGACUGCCGGUGUUAAACCGGAGGAAGGUGGGGAUGACGUCAAGUCCUCAUGGCCUUUAUGACCAGGGCUACACACGUACUACAAUGGCCGAUACAAAGGGCAGCGACACUGCGAGGUGAAGCCAAUCCCGUAAAAUCGGUCUCAGUCCGGAUUGGAGUCUGCAACUCGACUCCAUGAAGUUGGAAUCGCUAGUAAUCGUGGAUCAGCAUGCCACGGUGAAUACGUUCCCGGGCCUU